AAGAAAGAAAGGAGGGAGAGGAAGAUGUGAGCUACCGGAAGUUAUAGGGAUGGGAGUGUCGGUAUGAAGUAUGAACAGCCGUCCUUCUCAGAUCUCAUCUGUUCUUUCUUACCGAAGCCACCCAUGCCCAUGAUUUCCGGCGGUUCCUCCCUUUCCUUUUCUUUCUUAUUAGCUCAACAACCCCUUCUCUCUCAUGCCGAUUGUUUACAUUUCAUCCAUUUCUCUUCUUUAAUCUAGAGCUUUUUAAUGUUUUGUGUUUUAUUAACUAACUCUCAGAUGGUAACAGAGAGGAGAGGAAGAAGAAGAAGAAAGAACUGUGCUCUGGAACUCAAUCUUGCAUAUGGUGCAUGUUGCAGUAAGUAAAGAAGACUUGGUGCAUCAAUCAGAACCUAUCAUUUUUGAGGGUCGGUCCCACGACCUAUAUUUGCUUCUGGAGGGGAAGGCUGUGUAUAUCCUGUUCUUGUUCCCAACUUCCUUACUUUUGGGUCUGCAAAACCAGGCAAGAUAUGAUAUAAGUCUAUCUAACCACAUCUACCUAUUAAACAAAGUGUGUUUUUCUGGGGGGAAGGGGUUGAAGUCAGUAAAUGAAUAUUAUUAAAAUGAAAUGAAUACUCUAUACCCUUAAAUACAUCUUGUGUUAAUUUGCACAGGUAUUAUUGAUGACGGGAAAAAAUAUUGAAAUCACAAUUAAGAGCCUUGUCUAUGGGAUAAAGCAAGCUGAAGCUGAUGGAUGGGAGGUGAAAGAGACAUGGAGGGAUGCAGAUGAGGUGGGAACCCUAUUUUCUAGCAAUAGUACCAAAUUGUAGCCUUGAGCAUCAUACCUCUUUUCUUGAAUGUAUAUGAUUUUUUGUUCAUACCCAAUUUUUGUCUUGGGCCUACAAACGAAUUGGUACAAUUGCUACUUAAUCUAGCGACCAUGGCUAUGAACAAACAGUCUGAUUGGCACAUUGAUAUUUUGAGAAAAAAGAAAAAAGAAAAAAGAAAAAGAACAUUGAUAUUUAUGUAAUUUGAAUUUUUUUUUUCAUAAAAAAAAUAAUUAAAUGAAUGAAAUACAAUCUAAAAAAAAUGAUAAAUGAAAAAUGAAAAAUGAAAUAGAACAAGCUAGAACUCAACAUUCGGCAUUGCCAUUAGUAGAGCAAUGACCCACCACAAAAAUAGAAUCCCAGCCCAUGCCACUUGGAACAAAAAUAGGGGUUUAUGAUCAGAAAAUGAACAAAAAUAGGGGUUUCUGAUCAGAAUGGAGAUCUUAGGGCUCACCUUUUAUUAAUUUUAUGCUUUCCAUCCAAGAAAAUAAGACCCCAAUUAUACCUUUUUGGAUAACCAAACAUAUUCUAAAUUACAAUGGCAAUAAUACCUGCAUGAACCGUUCCCAAAUGCAUCUGCUGUACACUAACGAGAUAGACCCAUCUUCAUCUUCUACUACUAUACCCUAAGGAAAUGUAUCUCCUCUCACAGAGCUUUUCAGCUACUUAUAAUGAAAUUUCCUGAUUAGAAAGAGAGACCAAUCUCUUUGCAUCCAAUUAGAACCCAUAAGCGUGCUUUCCACUAACUCUAAAUUAUUCAAAUUAACAUUAAUUACUCACUACCUCCCACAUUAUCUGAAGUGUUAUAUAUGUUUCAAGACUAAUUCAGCCCUUAAAACUUAUUAUGCCACACAAGUUCUCUUUCUCAAGUAAUUAUUUUUCGAUUAUUUUAUUAGCUGAUUUGGUCAUUCUGAUAAUACGUAUGUAAUACUAGUACUAUGGAUACGUAGCUUGCAAGAAUCUACGUACUCUUCGAACCAAUCCUCCAAUUGCAUGUGUACCCUAAAAUUUUAUUUUGAUUUUAUAGUUUUUUAAUGUUUGCAUGGUGUUUAUAGCAUAGAAAUUGUACCUUUUUUUAAAAAGAAAUUCUCAUUGUGUUUGGCAUGCUGAAUCAAGAAAAGAUUCUUUUUUUUGAGUUUCAAAAUUCGCUUUGGGAAUGGUGAAGUUUUCUUCUCUA